UGCUCAUUGGUCUAACGUUUUUCUUUUCCCCACAAAUAGAUAUCCAUGAAAUUUCAUGUUUUGACUGCUUGGAGCCGGCCCAAUUUUAAUCUUUGUGCAUUGGAUACUAGUAUCAUUCAUCCUUUAAAAGUAGUUAGGCUACAGAAUGUAUUCAGGCAGAACUAAGCCUUGGGGGAAAAUAUUAAGCAUUGUAUCAUCGUGCUUUCAGGGUCCUUUUCUUUGUACCGUGGAUAUAAACAACAAUUGCCGAUACCUCAAUGCUUGCAAAAUCCAAUUGGGAGUUGCGCAGUAAUCUAAAGCGACCAACCAAUGAGAAAGUAAAGUAAAGCU
rnacentral:sRNA from 2 species